GUAAGUUCAUCCCCCUGUGCACAAAAUGCAAGGGGACAGUUUUCUUCCUUAUCUCCUUAGUCUUUUCAAAGAUGAUGUUAUUUGCUCUGCAGAGUGAAAAGGCUUUUGUCAGACAUUGGACACUUAGGACACUAAGACCCGCAUGCCCAGCAAAUGACUGAUUCUGGCAGGAAACAGUCUAAGAAAACUACACGGCUACAAACAAGACUACCUUUCAUGGAAAAGCAAGGAUGACUCAGAGGAAGCACCAAGACCCCAGAGGGAAGGGCAAAGAGCCAGGGAGAAUCACUCCCAGUCACAAGGAAGACCAAGUUUUAGUCAAAGAACUUCCAACAUUUGUCCAGCUAUGUUUCAGACUUGCCAUGGACCGAUCCUUUGCUCUGAGAAAAGCCGGAUAAGAGGUCAUGGACACUCUGGCCACCCGUCAGGAUGUCCACAUGAUGCCCCUGCCAACGCACACGUGAGUGGGCCAUCUCGGAAGUGUAUAUACUCCAGCCCCAAUCAAGCCCUCAGAUGACGGCGCCUCCCACUAGUAUAUCCUGACUGCAAUCUCAUGAGAGAGCCAGGGCCAGAAUCACCCAGCUAAGUCACUCUUGAAUUCCUCACCCACAGAAACUGUGAGACAAUAAAUGAUGAGUACAGCUCCUCAUCUCUCACCACACAGAUCCACAUCGGACAAGCUUCCCCUGGGGGGAAGCUUGGAACUGCAGCAUGACCUAGUGUUGGCAAAGUGAAACACUAGGACUGACUUCAUGUUAAAGCCCACAUAAAGCCCAUAGCCAGAAAACGACUGCAAAGUACCUAUAUUUCAUAGGUAUCUCAGUGAGGUAAUAAUAAUGCUCAGCUCCCUGCUGGACACUUCCACCACACCCUGAAUCUCCUAGGCUCAUGGACAAGUCCAUUUAAUGAAAGACCUAUUCAUUCCCUAGUUGAGUGUGUCUUAAACUUUAAUGGGUAUAAGAUUCACUGGAGAAUUUGAUAUUAUACAUUACCAGGUUACACUCCCCAGAGAAUCGGCUUCAGGAGGUCAGGAGAGAGGUCUAGAAACCUGUAGUUUUAAUAAGCGCACCAGUAGCUUCUGAGGCACCUCGUCUCAGACCACACUUUGAAAAACUCUGGGCAAUUAUGUGGUGGACGACCUGCAGAUGCACAUUCACUGUCAGUAGGCAAAGUAGAGGCAAUGGAACCCCAUGGUUAAGAGCAUGGCUGCCACUCAUUGCUGGACGUGUUGUAAGUACUCCAAAACUGCUAGUUCCCCUAGGACCCACUCCAGCAAUGCUGCUAGAGUUCUUACACACAGAUUGCGCCUCAUAGACUCUUUCUGU